UACGGGGGGAGCAAGCGUUGUUCGGAUUUACUGGGCGGAAAGGGCGCGUAGGCGGUCGUGACAAGUCACUUGUGAAAUCUCCGGGCUUAACUCGGAACGGUCAAGUGAUACUGUCGGACUAGAGUACAGAAGGGGCAACUGGAAUUCUCGGUGUAGCGGUGAAAUGCGUAGAUAUCGAGAGGAACACCUGCGGCGAAGGCGGGUUGCUGGGCUGACACUGACGCUGAGGCGCGAAAGCCAGGGGAGCGAACGGG
rnacentral:rRNA from 1 species